CUGAGCGAAUCGCAUCGGCCUCUGUGCUGGCGAUGGUACAUUCAAUUUCUGCCCUAUCAACUUGAUGGUACGGUAGAGGCCUACCAUGGCUUUUACGGGUGACGGAGAAUUAGGGUUCGAUUCCGGAGAGGGAGCCUGAGAGAUGGCUACCACUUCUAAGGAAGGCAGCAGGCGCGCAAAUUACCCAAUCCUGAUACAGGGAGGUAGUGACAAGAAAUAACAAUACAAGUCCCAAUACGGGCUUUGUAAUUGGAAUGAGUACAAUUUAAACCCCUUAAUGAGUAACAAUUGGAGGGCAAGUCUGGUGCCAGCAGCCGCGGUAAUUCCAGCUCCAAUAGCAUAUAUUAAAUUUGUUGCAGUUAAAAAGCUCGUAGUUGGAUCUCGGAACUGGGAGCAACUGGUCUGCCGUGAUGGUUUGCACUGUUGUUCCCGUUCUCAUUUGAUGGGUACUUAACUCUUCUCUUCAUUGAGCGGAGAGUAGCUUCGUGAAUAAUUUAGUGAGAGUUGUUUUCUCCUCGUGAGUUAACAUCCUCUUCACUUUGUUUCUCUCACUACUACUUUUGUGGGUUCCAUCUCUUUUACUUUGAAUAAAUUAGAGUGUUUAAAGCAGGCGAUUUUUUGCCAUUGAAUACAUUAGCAUGGGAUAAUAGAAUAGGACUUCGGCUCUAUUUUGCAAUUGGUUUUAGAACUGAAGUAAUGAUUAAUAGGGAUAGUUGGGGACAUUGGUAUUUAAUUGUCAGAGGUGAAAUUCUUGGAUUUAUGAAAGACUAACUUCUGCGAAAGCAUUUGUCAAGGAUGUUUUCAUUAAUCAAGAACGAAAGUUAGGGGCGCGAAGACGAUCAGAUACCGUCGUAGUCUUAACCAUAAACUAUGCCGACCAAGGAUUGGGUGACGUCAUAUUUUUAAAUGACCCCCCCAGCACUUUGCGAGAAAUCACAAGCCUUUGGGUUCCGGGGGGAGUAUGGUCGCAAGGCUGAAACUUAAAGGAAUUGACGGAAGGGCACAACCAGGAGUGGAGCCUGCGGCUUAAUUUGACACAACACGGGAAAACUUACCAGGUCCAGACAUAGGAAGGAUUGACAGAUUGAGAGCUCUUUCUUGAUUCUAUGGGUGGUGGUGCAUGGCCGUUCUUAGUUGGUGGAGUGAUUUGCCUGGUUAAUUCCGUUAACGAACGAGACCUUAACUUACUAAAUAGUUACGUAAAUAUUGCUAUUAAAGCAGAGUUUAGGUAGUGCUUCAGGUGGCUUCACGGCUUCUUGGAGUAUUGCUUAGGCUUUGCCGGUUUUAUUGAUGGUUCAACUUCUUAGAGGGACUAUUCGUGUCUAACGAGUGGAAGUUUGAGGCAAUAACAGGUCUGUGAUGCCCUUAGAUGUUCUGGGCCGCACGCGCGCUACACUGACAAAUUCAACGAGCUUUAAACUCCCUUGAUCGGAAGGUCUGGGUAAUCUUGUGAAAAUUUGUCGUGCUGGGGAUAGAUUAUUGCAAUUAUUAAUCUUCAACGAGGAAUUCCUAGUAAGCGUGAGUCAUCAACUCGCGUUGAUUACGUCCCUGCCCUUUGUACACACCGCCCGUCGCUCCUACCAAUUGAAUGGUCCGGUGAAAUGUUCGGAUUAGAGUCGGACCUGGGGCAACUCUGGAAGAUUCAGAGAAUUUCAUUAAACCUUAUCAUUUAGAGGAAGGAGAAGUCGUAACAAGGUA
rnacentral:rRNA from 1 species